GACGAACGCUGGCGGCGUGCCUAAUACAUGCAAGUCGAGCGAGCUUGCCUAGAUGAUUUUAGUGCUUGCACUAAAUGAAACUAGAUACAAGCGAGCGGCGGACGGGUGAGUAACACGUGGGUAGCCUGCCCAAGAGACUGGGAUAACACCUGGAAACAGAUGCUAAUACCGGAUAACAACACUAGACGCAUGUCUAGAGUUUGAAAGAUGGUUCUGCUAUCACUCUUGGAUGGACCUGCGGUGCAUUAGCUAGUUGGUAAGGUAACGGCUUACCAAGGCAAUGAUGCAUAGCCGAGUUGAGAGACUGAUCGGCCACAUUGGGACUGAGACACGGCCCAAACUCCUACGGGAGGCAGCAGUAGGGAAUCUUCCACAAUGGACGAAAGUCUGAUGGAGCAACGCCGCGUGAGUGAAGAAGGGUUUCGGCUCGUAAAGCUCUGUUGGUAGUGAAGAAAGAUAGAGGUAGUAACUGGCCUUUAUUUGACGGUAAUUACUUAGAAAGUCACGGCUAACUAC
rnacentral:rRNA from 1 species